UCAACGCUGUACGCAGCAUUCGACGAGGCCUUGGUCGUUGACAUGAUUGUUGAAAAACAGAUAAUGUUGCGUUCCACCAAGAUACCUUUGACAAUCGACCCCAAACAUACACGCGCUGUCAUCAAGUGUUGGUGCGUCGCGCUGAGGAAUAACGAGUUUAUGAAUUAUCUUCGAUAAAUUAUCAGAAGUAUGUGUACGUUUCGAUGAAACGCGAAUGAAUCAAUCGCGCAUACAACAAUGUUUUUCCAGCAUCACAAAGACCUGUGAUGAGUACACUCCGACCAACAGAUUUUUUCCUCUGCCAUACGAUGAAUGCAACUGCAAUGAUAUACCAUCGAUAAGCCCUGAGGCAUUUAUUUUUGUAUUAAUAGCAUGAUAAUGUUAUCAUGUGUCGCGGAGGCAUGAUGGACCCAUUCGUUUAUUAUAUUUAUAAUUAUAAUGUACUUUGUAGGUAUUUUUUAUUUCUCAUUCUUAUUAUGUUUUAUAAUUACUGUAAAUACAAUGACAUACGGUUUAUUUA